AGAGUUUGAUCCUGGCUCAGAAUAAACGCUGGCGGCGUGCCUAACACAUGCAAGUCGAGCGAGAAAGUUCCUCGGGAGCAAGUAAAGCGGCGGACGGGUGAGUAACGCGUGAGAAUUUACCCUUUAGUGAGGAAUACCUCUGAGAAAUCAGGGCUAAUACUGCAUAAGUCCCUACGGGGAGAAAGGUGGCCUAUUUGCUGCCGCUAAAGGAUAAGCUUGCGGGCUAUUAGCUAGUUGGUGAGGUAAAGGCUCACCAAGGCGAUGAUGGCUAGCCGGGCCUGAGAGGGUGUACGGCCACACUGGAACUUAGACACGGUCCAGACUCCUACGGGAGGCAGCAGUGAGGAAUAUUGCGCAAUGGGCGAAAGCCUGACGCAGCGACGCCGCGUGGAGGAUGAAGGUCUUCGGAUUGUAAACUUCUGUUAAGUGGGAAGGAAGAUUUAUCCCUAAUAUGGAUAAAGGAUGACGGUACCAUUAGAGAAAGCACCGGCUAACUUCGUG
rnacentral:rRNA from 1 species